CCAUGCAUUUACAGAUCUCUAAAAAUUGUUUUCUCUUUUGCAGUCCUUGAACUUUGGGCUUCACCCAUGCUGGGCCAGCAUUCUCCCUCCAAGCUGUGUCCCUCGAACUCAUUUUCAAAGUUUUACAAAGAUCCUGUACAGCAGUCCUCCCUGGUCAUGGAAGGUCCCAAGACCCCUGUCGCGUUAGACAUAAAGGAUCAAGAAGGUCUUGCUGCAUGUGAGGAAUCCAAGACACCCAACCACGAAACACCUGAGUUAUGGCCUGGGGAUUCAGCUCAGUGGUUCCACCGCCUGCCUCGCAAGCACAAGGUCCUGAGUUCGGUCCCUGAUACCAAAAAAAAAAUUAAAUAAAUAAAAC
rnacentral:lncRNA from 1 species